rnacentral:rRNA from 1 species
CUGAUGCGUUGUUGGGUAGGGGAGCGUUCUGUAAGCCUGCGAAGGUGUGCUGUGAGGCAUGCUGGAGGUAUCAGAAGUGCGAAUGCUGACAUAAGUAACGAUAAAGCGGGUGAAAAGCCCGCUCGCCGGAAGACCAAGGGUUCCUGUCCAACGUUAAUCGGGGCAGGGUGAGUCGACCCCUAAGGCGAGGCCGAAAGGCGUAGUCGAUGGGAAACAGGUUAAUAUUCCUGUACUUGGUGUUACUGCGAAGGGGGGACGGAGAAGGCUAUGUUGGCCGGGCGACGGUUGUCCCGGUUUAAGCGUGUAGGCUGGUUUUCCAGGCAAAUCCGGAAAAUCAAGGCUGAGGCGUGAUGACGAGGCACUACGGUGCUGAAGCAACAAAUGCCCUGCUUCCAGGAAAAGCCUCUAAGCAUCAGGUAACAUCAAAUCGUACCCCAAACCGACACAGGUGGUCAGGUAGAGAAUACCAAGGCGCUUGAGAGAACUCGGGUGAAGGAACUAGGCAAAAUGGUGCCGUAACUUCGGGAGAAGGCACGCUGAUAUGUAGGUGAGGUCCCUCGCGGAUGGAGCUGAAAUCAGUCGAAGAUACCAGCUGGCUGCAACUGUUUAUUAAAAACACAGCACUGUGCAAACACGAAAGUGGACGUAUACGGUGUGACGCCUGCCCGGUGCCGGA